CAGAUGCCACGGGCAGCGUCACAGCCACAAUGCUGGAGCGUGGCUUUGGCACAGUACAGGUGAUAAAGGCAACUGUGGUGACUGAAGGGAGAUCAGCGCGGAUGCGGCUGCCAUUGAGGAUGGCUCUUGAGGAGCGAUGGUGAUGGCCAGCAUUUGAACAAUGCUGAGCAGUGUUCUGAGUGGGCCCAAGGGAGCUGGAGGAAGAAAGGGGCAUGCCCCAAGAAGGCGUGGAGCCUUGCGGGGAGCAGGUUGCUCACAUCCAGGAGGAGCAGGGUGAGGUGAGCAUCAGUCCGGGAGCGGACGUAGAGCCCGGCGUAGGGCCAUCACCU